UUAAACGCCUAUGUGAAACAGAUUAACGGUUCGAGCGUUUGGCUAAGUUCAAACGUCGUAUUAUCCAUGAAUGAAUCGAGUCUAUUGUUUCAUUUUCAUUUGCGGCAUUUGCAUUGAAUACGGCUCAUGGAUAAUACGAUCAGCCUUAGCCCUUCGUCAGAGUAAAAGAUACCGAAUAUGAUGCGAACAAUCGGUAGUGUGUCGGCGCCGCGCGCGCGGGCCGACAAAGGAACAAUAGGAGAGGGGCGCGCUAAAGAAAUUGUAAUUAUCUAUGCAAAUGACAGCUUGUUGUUUAUACCGAAUGCGAGAGUCAUUGGAACCAUUGUGCAAAGAAACUCCACAAAUAGACAAGUGGUCGACGAAGUGUCCUGGGAGGUUUAUAAUAAAAAUGACUAGAAACUG